CCUACGGGCGGCAGCAGUGGGGGAUAUUGCACAAUGGGGGAAACCCUGAUGCAGCGACGCCGCGUGGGUGAAGAAGCGCCUCGGCGCGUAAAGCCCUGUUUGCAGGGAAGAAAAUGACGGUACCUGAAGACGAAGCCCCGGCUAACUACGGGCCAGCAGCCGCGGUCCUACGUAGGGGGCCAGCGUUAUCCGGAUUUCCUGGGUUUAAAGGGGGCGCAGACGGCGAUGCAAGCCAGGCGUGAAAGCCCGGGGCCCAACCCCGGGACUGCUCUUGGAACUGCGUGGCUAGAGUGCAGGAGGGGCAGGCGGAAUGCCUGGUGUAGCGGUGAAAUGCGUAGAUAUCAGGAGGAACACCGGUGGCGAAGGCGGCCUGCUGGACUGCAACUGACGUUGAGGCCCGAAAGCGUGGGGAGCAAACAGGAUUAGAUACCCUUGUAGUC
rnacentral:rRNA from 1 species